rnacentral:rRNA from 1 species
UACGUAGGGUGCGAGCGUUGUCCGGAAUUAUUGGGCGUAAAGAGUUCGUAGGCGGUUUGUCGCGUCGACUGUGAAAACCUACAGCUUAACUGUGGGCUUGCAGUCGAUACGGGCAGACUUGAGUUCGGUAGGGGAGACUGGAAUUCCUGGUGUAGCGGUGAAAUGCGCAGAUAUCAGGAGGAACACCGGUGGCGAAGGCGGGUCUCUGGGCCGAUACUGACGCUGAGGAGCGAAAGCGUGGGGAGCAAACGGG